rnacentral:rRNA from 1 species
GCAGCCUGAUGCAGCAACGCCGCGUGAGGGACGACGGCCUAUCGGGUUGUAAACCUCUUUUAGCAAGGAAGAAGCGAAAGUGACGGUACUUGCAGAAAAAGCGCCGGCUAACUACGUGCCAGCAGCCGCGGUAAUACGUAGGGCGCAAGCGUUAUCCGGAAUUAUUGGGCGUAAAGAGCUCGUAGGCGGUUUGUCGCGUCUGCCGUGAAAUCCCGAGGCUCAACCUCGGGUCUGCGGUGGGUACGGGCAGACUAGAGUGCGGUAGGGGAGAUUGGAAUUCCUGGUGUAGCGGUGGAAUGCGCAGAUAUCAGGAGGAACACCGAUGGCGAAGGCAGAUCUCUGGGCCGUAACUGACGCUGAGGAGCGAAAGGGUGGGGAGCAAACAGGCUUAGAUACCCUGGUAGUCCACCCCGUAAACGUUGGGAACUAGUUGUGGGGUCCAUUCCACGGAUUCCGUGACGCAGCUAACGCAUUAAGUUCCCCGCCUGGGGAGUACGGCCGCAAGGCUAAAACUCAAAGGAAUUGACGGGGACCCGCACAAGCGGCGGAGCAUGCGGAUUAAUUCGAUGCAACGCGAAGAACCUUACCAAGGCUUGACAUAUAGAGGAAACGUGCAGAAAUGUACGCCCCGCAAGGUCUC